UAACGCGUGGGAACGUACCCUUCACUACGGAAUAGUCCCGGGAAACUGGGUUUAAUACCGUAUACGCCCUUCGGGGGAAAGAAUUUCGGUGAGGGAUCGGCCCGCGUUAGAUUAGUUAGUUGGUGGGGUAAUGGCCUACCAAGACUACGAUCUAUAGCUGGUUUGAGAGGAUGAUCAGCAACACUGGGACUGAGACACGGCCCAGACUCCUACGGGAGGCAGCAGUGGGGAAUCUUAGACAAUGGGGGCAACCCUGAUCUAGCGAUGCCGCGUGAGUGAUGAAGGCCUUAGGGUCGUAAAGCUCUUUCGCCUGUGAUGAUAAUGACAGUAGCAGGUAAAGAAACCCCGGCUAACUCCGUGCCAGCAGCCGCGGUAAUACGGAGGGGGUUAGCGUUGUUCGGAAUUACUGGGCGUAAAGCGCACGUAGGCGGAUUAGUCAGUCAGAGGUGAAAUCCCAGGGCUCAACCCUGGAACUGCCUUUGAUACUGCUAGUCUUGAGUUCGAGAGAGGUAAGUGGAAUUCCGAGUGUAGAGGUGAAA
rnacentral:rRNA from 1 species